GUCGGUGUAGUGUAACGGUAGCACUACGGUCUCCAAAACCGUCAGUGAAGGUUCAAAUCCUUCCACCCUCGCCA
rnacentral:tRNA from 1 species